GUGGUUGUAGCUCAGUUGGUUAGAGCAUCAGAUUGUGGUUCUGAGGGUCGGGGGUUCGAAACCCCUCAAUCACCCA
rnacentral:tRNA from 1 species